GACGAACGCUGGCGGCGUGCCUAACACAUGCAAGUCGAACGAAGUGGCGAACGGGUGAGUAACGCGUAAUCAACCUGCCCUUCACAGGGGGACAACAGUUUGAAACGACUGCUAAUACCACAUACUGAAGGAGGGGAUUGCGUCUGAUGAGCUAGUUGGAGGGGUAACGGCCCACUAAGGCGAUGAUCAGUAGCCGGUCUGAGAGGAUGGACGGCAACAUUGGGACUGAGGCACGGCCCAGACUCCUACGGGAGGCAGCAGUGGGGGAUCUUCCGCAAUGGACGAAAGUCUGACGGAGCAACGCCGCGUGGGUGAUGACGGCCUUCGGGUUGUAAAGCUCUGUUAAUCGGGACGCGGUACCGGAAUAGAAAGCCACGGCUAACUACGUGCCAGCAGCCGCGGUAAUUC
rnacentral:rRNA from 1 species